GUAUUAUUCUCUCUGCUCCUUGGUGCAUUCUUUCUCGGCCAGGGCUCCCCAUACUUGGAAAGUGUUGCUAAUGCUCGAGGUGCUGCCUAUGAAGUGUACAAGGUUAUCAAUAAGCACCGUCUUCUAGAUAGCAGUGCCAAGGAAGGAUACAGACCAGACCAGCUCAAAGGAGAGAUUGAAUUCAAAAACAUCCAUUUCAGUUACCCAUCUAGACCUGAUGUUAAAGUAAGUGAUCUUAUUAAAUUCAUCUUUGCAGUGAAAAGCUGCUGCCAUUAUCUGUGUGACUAAAAAGAAAACUGAUAUUUUAUCAAUUUAAUGUGUUUA